rnacentral:rRNA from 1 species
AGUGAACGCUGGCGGUAGGCCUAACACAUGCAAGUCGAACGGCAGCACAGUAAGAGCUUGCUCUUACGGGUGGCGAGUGGCGGACGGGUGAGGAAUACAUCGGAAUCUACUUUUUCGUGGGGGAUAACGUAGGGAAACUUACGCUAAUACCGCAUACGACCUACGUGUGAAAGCAGGGGAUCUUCGGACCUUGCGCGAUUGAAUGAGCCGAUGUCGGAUUAGCUAGUUGGCGGGGUAAAGGCCAACCAAGGCGACGAUCCGUAGCUGGUCUGAGAGGAUGAUCAGCCACACUGGAACUGAGACACGGUCCAGACUCCUACGGGAGGCAGCAGUGGGGAAUAUUGGACAAUGGGCGCAAGCCUGAUCCAGCCAUACCGCGUGGGUGAAGAAGGCCUUCGGGUUGUAAAGCCCUUUUGUUGGGAAAGAAAAGCAGCAGGUUAAUACCCCGCUGUUCUGACGGUACCCAAAGAAUAAGCACCGGCUAACUUCGUG